AUGGCGAUCUGCUUCAAGCGAGCUGUUGCCUGGCUUCGUGUUAUCACCAAUUCACCAUGGAUGGUUCUCUCCGUGUCGCGCCAUUACGCCCAUGGCCGCUUCUACUGGAUUUCAGGUUCAAGUGAAAAAUUGCUUGUGCUUGACAUUCAGAGGAUGGAGUUCUCCAUGGCUGACCACCCACCAGCUUUCAGUGGUGGUGUGGCCAUCGUGGAGGCAGGCCAAGGCAUGAUUCGGAUGUUUGUGCGUAAACCCAACGCACCUCUGUUUGUGCCUACAACCCACACAGAAGCCCUUCGUUAUAUGGUUUGGCGAAACAAUGGUGGGAUUUCCACCCGGUGGCAGAGGGAGAAGAAGACAGUCUCACUGGAUUCUGGGUCCGUGCUCACGGGCGCAGUGGGGAGGCACUUGCUGCUGUAUCAGUGUGGAAGAUCGUCAGUCCAGACAGGUGGUUUCACGCUCGAUGUCGACACAUCCCAGGUUGAGAGGGUGUGUGCUUCAUUUCCCGCACCGUCACACGUAUAUUGCAACUUCCCGCCAUUGUUAUUAUCGUCACCGACAGUGUCAAGUGAUACCCCCUUCCCUUCACAGUUAUCUCCACACAAAUUGCCCUGGUUGCUGCAUGAUUGA
rnacentral:rRNA from 1 species